UUUCACUUCUGUUUCUUAAUACUAUCAUUUUGAAAAAGUGAAAAUGAAACUGUUUCAUUGGUGAACAGUUCACAAGGGAGAGGAAAAGUCCUUCUGCCUCACCAUCCUAGAGCACUGGGAUUACAAGAAUGCACCGUCAUGGCUGGAUACACACAGUAACACCUGUGAAGCUUUAGUUCUCUAAUUAGGUCUCUGGAAUUGAGAGGUACGAUGAGGCCUGGAAGACUUCAGCAGUAAUGUGGGGUUCCUGUUGACUAAUUCUGUGAUCCCCUCCCUCACAGUCUGACAAUGAGGUAGGAUGCUGCCCCAAAGGCUGUGCCUACAGUUGGGCAUUCACACCCUGCUUGGCGAAGUGGCUAAAAGACAUUCCCUCAUUGACUGAGAGAGGAAUCCCGCGGGCUAGGUCCACGUGCUAUGUGCUGGAACUUUUGCUGGUGAGAGAUGAAGAUGUGAUUGCAGUGUCUGGCUGUGUGAUGAACACCAGAAUGACUCAUGGAGAGAGGGUGUUAACAAGGCUCUGGAUCAAGUGUCACUCACUGUAAUUUUUCACACACGAUGCUCUUGGAAAGUCCCCUGCAUGGAGGAAAGACACAUUGAUGUCUUUCAAAAGUGCACCGGUAUAGUUACUGUAUUUUUGUUUUCAAAAAUCCCAAGAAUCCCUGAAAUACUGUCUUGCCCACUCAAGAUAUUGUUUACUUUCCCUCUUGGAAAUGUUCAGUGGGUUCUACUGCAUGUUGAAUUUCAGUGAGGCUUAAACCUGUGUCAACUGUUUAAUUGCUUCUCUCAGCUUGGAUAAGUAUAUGUCUCAGCUACCCAAGCUUAGCUUCUCUACCAAAAUUUGUCAGUUUAUGUUUUAAACAUUACUUUGGAAAUUAGAACGGCUUGGAGAACUUAAGUUUUUCCAUGAUAAAGGUAAUCACUUUUCAAUAUAAUAAAGUUGCAAGAGUAAAAAAGAAAACAAAAUCAUUUGUAUUUUCCUCAACCAAACUUGCCCCAUUCCUUUUGGAGUUGGAUUUUACUGUAUAUUUAUAACUGUCUUAGAUGUUAUGCAUAUUUAUUGUUGAUCAUUUUAUAAAUGAAGAAAAUUAUAUAUUAGUAGUAUAUUAGUAACUUUCCCAUUGUUGGCACAAAACACCUGACACCCACAGUUUAAAGGAGAGCUUUAUUUUGGUUUAGGGUUUUAGAAAGUUCACUCCCUGGUUGGCUGGCUUCAAGGCAGAAACAUACUGGUGGAAGCGCAUGGUGGAGGAAAGCCACUCAUCCGUGGCACCCAGGAAGCAUAGAACAAAGGGAAGAUUGGGGACAAGAAUACACCCUUCCAGGUUAGGCCUCCAGUGACACAUUGAUGAGUUUACCCCUCCCUGCCAUGAUCUCAUCAGCUUCCAAAAGCCCUACCCUUGAACACAUUGGGAGUGUUGUGGACAUUUGAGAUCUCAACCAGAACAAGCAAGAAAAAUAUACACCACUAAUGUUAACAUAGGUGAUCCUUGAUUUAGGAUGAGGUUAUGUGCCAGAAAUCUAUCAAUAGGCAGAAGUACAUUGAAUGCUCAUAACUCAGCCACACAGUAGAUUGAAGAGUAUGGGUUGUUUCCCCUCAUCAACACACCGCUGACUGGGAGCUGCAGCUUGCAGUGCUGCACAGCAUCUGGAGAGAACAUCUGUUACUUAUCACUAGCAUAAGAAAAGAUCAAAAUUUAAAUUCAAAAUUCAGAGUGCAGUUUCUACUAUGUAUGGCUUUGGCACUACUGUAAAGUCUAAAAGUCUUAAGCUGAACAAUUGCAAGUAAAGGAUCAUCUGUAUUUUGGUCUAUUUCCUUACUAACUGUCAUGUGAAAAGAAUAAUUCAAUGACACUUGUUAAAGUGUGGUAAGGAAGACUUUAUUCUGGAUCAUUGCCAUAUGUGUAAGGACCUGCAGUGAGGACAAUGGGAUUUGGCUGCGGGGGAGAGAGAUUGGGCUCAACUUCAAAUAUACCAUGGGCAAGUGAAUAUUAACAACCAAGGAACAAGGUAGAUGCUGGUGGGUGGAAAAACUUCUCAAAGGUACCAUCAAGAGUAAGGAGAUUCUGGAUACCUGAACUAAUAGGGUUUUUGCUGAAGACAGGGCAGGGUGAUUCGAUGUCACGUGGGGUUGGAGGAAGGUGAACCUGACCAAAUGUUGAGGGUGAAAGAUUUUUACUAACAUGAUUUAGCAAGGUUCUUGCUAAAUCUGGAUUUUACAAAACAAUGCAAGAUGGGCCUGGGGGAAUGUUCAGGAGCCUGAAUGAAGUUUGAUCAAGUAAAAAAUCUCUGUCACAAGCAAGGUCCAUCUGCACACUUAGGAUGAAAAAUUUGCUGAA